rnacentral:rRNA from 1 species
UACGUAGGUGGCAAGCGUUGUCCGGAUUUACUGGGUGUAAAGGGCGUGUAGCCGGGCUGACAAGUCAGAUGUGAAAUUCCGGGGCUCAACCCCGGACCUGCAUUUGAAACUGUUGAUCUUGAGUACUGGAGAGGCAGACGGAAUUCCUAGUGUAGCGGUGAAAUGCGUAGAUAUUAGGAGGAACACCAGUGGCGAAGGCGGUCUGCUGGACGGUGUACUGACGCUGAGGCUCGAAAGCGUGGGGAGCAAACAGG